GCCUGGGUGGCUCAGUCAGUUGAGCGUCUGACUUCGGCUCAGGUAUGAUCUCAGUUUGUGGGUUCGAGCCCCGCAUCAGGCU
rnacentral:tRNA from 1 species